GCCUGUUUCCGAUUCUGUGUCUCCCUCUCUCUCUGGCCCUCCCCCAUUCAUGCUCUGUCUCUCUCUGUCCCAAAAAUAAAUAAACGUUGAACAAAAAAUUAAAAAAAAAAAAAAGAAAUGUGGAGGCUAACGUUUCUUCCAACGUAUUCCACUAUCAGUGAAUUUUGCAAGAUGCUUCAUCUGCCCAAAUUCUCAUUUCUUCAAACAAACGCUCUUAAAAUGUGACACCUUCUAAAAAGCCCGUGGAAGAAAUUAGUGUAUUCACAGAAAAACUCCUCAUGGACUUAAUAUUUGCAUUUUACUACUUGUUACGAGAAAUUUCAAGCCAUGCAAAAUGGGAUGGCUUUUGGUGGAUUUCUAUAGUACAGUUCAGUUCUCUAGCAUAUAAUUUGGAAGCAAGAUAAGGUUUGAAACAACCACUUUAAUCAAGAGUUUUACUUUAUUUUUCAAUUCUUCAUGAAGAUGGAUCCAGAGCUCUGGUAGUUAGGUUCCUGUGAUGUGGAUGAAGGAACCCCUGCAGAUUCUCUUUUCGUCUCUGUCUUCUUCACGUUUAUUCACUUUUUUCUUUCUUUCUGCCCAAAUUGUAUUUAUAACUUGACCACUUCUAACUAAAGCAAACAUCUUAUAACAAAGAAUCUGAAAAUCUUUCCAACUUAACCCUCUUGGGGAAAUUCCCAAGGCAGGCAAAAUGAUGAUCCACCAUCAUUAAAAGAUACCCAUAACCCGGCAUAGUAAAAACAUGCAAAUAAAGAAUGUGACCGAAUCUCCCAACUGGGUCUGAGCUUUAGGCCUUAUUGUACUCCUCUUAUCUGCUUUAGUGGAUGACUAAAAACACUCUAGAUCUCAGACACCUUACUUGUAACCAUAAAACUUGAGUUGAAAUUAAUGAGCAUGUCACUUUUAAUCAGAUUCUAAUUUUGAAAAACGUGUUACCUUUCUAGUUCAAUUGUGUUUUCCAGAUAGCCUUGUUUAUCUAACACGGAAACAAACGAAUGCCAGAGAUAUUAAGCUGUCUAAAUUUUGGCUUAAGGCCAACAGCGGUCCACGAGAGGCGUAAUCAAAACAAAAAGUAGAAAAGAGAAGUCCAGCGGUUGUGUUCCCCACCCCUGCCAGAAUGUAAUGCUAACUGUUGACCAACUGUCAAGACUCAGAAGUGGUAGCUGCCUUCCAAGGAGCUGGCACAAAGGACAUAAUGAGUGUGUGUGUGCUACCCUUAUCACGGCAAGCUGGGCCGGGGGUGCAGCGAUGAUUAAGACAGGACCGUAAGAGAGGGAAAGAUACAACAAGGGUUGGAAAGAUCAUCUCAGGACCUGCUGGUGGGGGAUAUUACAACCCUGAGGAGUGUUGAUAGGUAUGUUGUAUGAUUCAAACUGAAUCAGCUAUUACUGAUGCAGGUAAGGAACCAUCAGUAAACUCCUGGUUACUACACCUUCUGUAAAAAAGGAUGGAUAAUGUUCAAGAGAUACCCUGGAAGGACUAACCAGGAAACACACAGAACUGAGUGUUCUUUUAGGACCCUAAAGCUCUAAAAGCUGUUAUUACAACCUAUUUUUCUUUAUGUGAUAUCGUAAGUAAAAUUUGAAGCUGUUAAUAUAUUGGAAAGUGCAUAAGAUUACAUGUUUUUAUAAUAGGGAUGCAGGCAUUCCAAAAUAAAUAAAUAAAAAUACAUGCAUCUCUCUUGCCUCUUACUGAAAGUAUUAAUCUAAUUUUAUAAUAAUGCUUACUUUUUAAUAUUAAGGCUCUGUAAAAAGAAACAUAUUUAUUUCUAAGAUUUCAGUAGAGCACAGGUGAUGUAUUUUUUUAAGCCUUAUCAUUUCUUUUCACCAACUCUACCCAUGUAUCUACUAUACCAUGUAUCCCAGUUAAUAGCUAUGUUUCUAUUUUUGUUGAGUUAAUUUAAGCUUCAUAUUCAUUCAGUGUGACUUUAAAUACAGAAUAACAAUGGGAGGUAUUUAGUACUGGCAUUAAGACCAUACAGCUCUCAUUUCACCUUAUAUUUAAAUUUCAUCUAUUUUUUUUCAAAGCUAAUAAUGCAGAUUGUUGACAUCCUUGAAAUGAUUUGUGGGUGGUAUUAAAUGGAGCCUGGGACUUUGAAAUGUAGACUAGAUGUUUGUUUUCUGGAAAGUUUGUAUUCUUAUCCUCACCUGAACCCCUGACUUUUGUGUUGUAUUUUUUUAUGAUUCCAAAAUGCUUUGAGGGAAAGAUAUUUUAAUGUGUACAAUUUGUUUUAUUUUCAUACUGAUCUCUAUUUUUGUUUAAAACCAUGUUGCAUCAUGAAAUCACUUAAUCCAAAAUAAAUCUUCUUUAAAAAAAAAUA